GAUGAACGCUAGCGGCAGGCCUAAUACAUGCAAGACGAACGGUAACUUUGGUAGCAAUAUUGAAGCAAGAGUGUCGUAAGGGUGCGUAACACGUAUGCAAUCUGCCCUCAACAGGAGGAUAGCUCCCCGAAAGGGGAAUUAACACUCCAUAAGAUUGUGGUCUGGCAUCAGACAGCAAUUAAAACUACGGUGGUUGAGGAUGAGCAUGCGCAUGAUUAGUUAGUUGGCGGGGUAACGGCCCACCAAGACGAUGAUCAUUAGGGGAACUGAGAGGUUGAUCCCCCACACUGGCACUGAGAUACGGGCCAGACUCCUACGGGAGGGCAGCAGUAGGGAAUAUUGGACAAUGGGU
rnacentral:rRNA from 1 species